UCCCCACCACCUUCACCACCUCCACGCUCGGGCACCGCCCCCUCCCGCCAAUCGGACCGCUCCAGCCACGCCCCCCGGGCGCUAGCCCACAGCCAAUGAGCAACUAGAGCCCGGCUGGGAGCUGCACCGGCCAAUCAGAGAGGCCGAAGACGCCUUGAAUCUCUGGGCAAGUUAAGUUUGUCUCCGAGGCUCCGAACUGAAGGGAGAUGGCGGGUUAGUUAGGUAGUGGGGUGGGUGGGAAUACAGUGUGCUGCUCCACCAAUAGGAGGAAGAGGGUGUGUCAUAUGCAAAUAACCCCGUGAAGUCCAGCCCCUCCCCUAAGACAAGGCACAGCCCCUGCUCUAGGUCUCUGCAGAAAUGGUGAGGGAAUGAGAUAAAUAACUGGGAGCUAGAGCUCGCUAGUGGGUCUAAGACUGAGCUAAAUAUUUCCUGAUUUCUUGAGAAAGAGGAUGGGGGUGGGGGGAGCUAAAACGUCCUUACCGUCAGGGCAGUGGUUAGGCUUUCUCUUAACCAAAAUCUUAGCUGUAAAGAAGACUGCAAUCACGUAGCACUUUGCAUCCAAGGAUCUCAAAGAACUUUAUGCAUCAUUUAUCGUGAGCCCUGUUUUGCAAAAGACCAGUUACCUGAGGCUUCGGCAGCGGGUAGGGGAUAGAUGUUUAAGUAUAUUUGCACCAAUAAUCGAGUUAGAGGGAAGAAAAGACACAAAACCUGUGGGUGAGUGGUUUCCUCCUCCAUCUAAAGCCCCUUCUCGCAGUCUCUCAGCAACGAAAAUUCCUUUAUUUGUCCAACACGAAAAGGCCAAAGAGACAGGGUUGUCUUCCACCCAAAAGUCCUUCUGAGGUAGCUGGUUAGAUAAACGCAGAGCAUGGAGCUCUGCCUGGGAGCGAAGGUUCAGAGAACAAAUUGCCAUUUAAAACUGUUGGGCUGGACCUGCCUCUUCCGAAGCUAAAAAUGGAUUUAGGAUUUUGGCGUUCACGCUCAGGGGAGAGAAGGCAGAUGUAAUUGGGGAAAGCUCAGGCUGGCAGGGUGUGGGGGACAGGCGAGUGGGGGAGCGAGGUCUCCCGAGGAGCUAGCAGCGCGCAUGCUAGUCGAAUGCUGGUUCCCGACGACGCGAGACGCCCCGAAACCUGCUCCCCAGUGAGAACAAAGGCAGGCUCCGAGCGAGAACCUGAUUGGUGCCCGGUCCUCACCGGUGUCCUCCGGACCCCGGAGAUAACUUGCUCUGCCCACUGGCGCGGAGCUCCGUGCGCACUGGCGCCCCAGCUCCCCACCCGGCCUUGGCCGGGACCACAUAGGACUGUGCGUUAUGACAUCACCUGUUUUCGCUGUUGAGAACACGAUCGGUAUUCUCUGCUUCUCUUUUUUUUAAAGGUCUCUGGUGUACGAGGAUUUGUGAAGGCCUGCAGUUGGCAGAAUGAAUCUGUGGAGAUGGUUUAAAAGAACGGUUUCACUGAAGACAUGAACAUCUAGAGAGUCACAUGUCUAUGGGGAAUUGGAAUGCUGAGGAAUGGAAACAAAUGGAAAUAUAUUACACAAGUGGAACUUCAGCUGUGACCUGAAAUGUAUUACCUAAGAACUCUGUACAGAUGAAGAUGAAGAAGGACCAUCUUCUCUGGGACUUGGGCUCUCACGCGUAUUAGGUCUGGCCACGUGGCACUAAUGGACAACCCAUACAUUUGGAGAGACUCCAAGAAAUCCAUCCCAAGCACUGAAUGGUCCUGGCCCUGUUCCAGAAUUUCACUAACCUUCCACAAAUUGUGAUUCCAGACACGUUCUUACCUUGGCCCCCAGGAUAAUGGGAGCCACAAAAGAGACAGAAAUUAAAAUGUCAGCCCAGCUGGGCCCACAGCAAUUACAAUGGAACCCAUUGCCUCUUCGAUCACCUGAGUGCACCACAUCUGUGCCUCCUGCAGAAGGGACAGCAAAAGAAUCCAGAGCAGUUAUUUUAGAUGUCUCUUUAACUCAGUGUUAACACAGUUGCUACUUAACAACAGCAACUAAGAUUUUCAUAAGCGACAGGAAAAUUUUUAAAAGCAAGACCCAGCCACUGAUAGGAGCUGCCGAUUUCAUGUGAAGUGAUCAGUUGCUUUUUGUGCUCUAAGGUGCUGAUUUCCAACGACUGCAAUGUUACAUCCAUGAGUUCUUCCAGCUUUGAAACUGAGCGCUCCAAGCAAGAAGAUCCCUUUUCUUCUGCUGCUAUGCCGGGGACACAUUGAGAUUACUUCAGCCAAAAUAACAUUUCCCAGCUGACAUCCUAACUCAGAGAGGUGGCUAGUCGUGCUAACAAAGAAAACGAUGUUUGGUCAUAAAGGAGUGUGAUGAAACUUUCGCUUUAUCUUUUUCUAUCUCAAUACCACAAUAUGGGGACGAGUUAUUUUCUUAAAGUACUUGUCACCUGCUUUGUGAUUGUCGUUUUACUUGGCUGCCUUCUCUGCGAGAUUAUAGGCUUCAUGAGGACAGUUUUCCUCCUCAUUGUAUCCUCAAUACAGUAACAACAUUUUUUUUUGAAGAAAUGAAUAAAGAAAGUCAACUCAGAAAAAGUCUUCUAGUCUAUGUUAUAGGAAUAGUGAAAUCUUUUUAGGUUAGUAAAAUGUGGGUUGAAUUGCUCAGGAAUUUUUAAUAACCAGUGUUUGUCAGCUGAAAGUAUAUUAUGGGAAAAUGUAAUACUGAAUGCAGUUAUAAGUUCUGGAAUAGGGACAAGUGUUCAGGCCACAGUGGCUAAGUGCUGUUUUUGUCCUCCAGCUUUUAUUUUUACUUCGGGUAACUCUUAGCCAGUGUUAGUCUAGGAAAUUGUCCCCUCCUUCACCCUCAGUCCCAUCUUAUUCUCCUCCCCCAGGUACACUGGGUCCUACACUGGUAGGUGAUCCUGUGUGUACCAGAGAACCGUCUUCCGGGGCCACUGGGCUUUGUCCAGCCACAGUUCCAGCUGGUCCUGUCAGAGGAGCGUGUCCUUUCUUUGCUUUGGGGAGAAGUGAGCUGGAGCUGUGUGUGGAGUCUCUACGCUGAAGCCAACAGAGGAGAACGUGGGGAGUGGGGAGAUAAAGGGAAAGAGGGCAGGAGAGAGAGGGUCCUGAGGACAUACCUCAUUAGAGGCAACAAAUCACCCACAACUUAACUUUUUUCUGUCAUUUGCCACAAAAAUAACUCUAACUGGUCCAGAGAAUGUGUUGUGUUACUUUGUUUUUGUCUUUGUAAAAGAAAGAAAUCAUUUAGGUGGCUCCUAGAGGAAGUGCGGUUUGGUACAUCUUGGUCUUGUUAGGAAAUUCAUUAUUUUAAUGGACCGAAAUCUCUGCCUUAGAUAUAAUGUUGGAGCUUCGGGAGCUACAGGUAACUCAGGAUGCGUGUGUGCUCUCUUCUACCUGACAGCUCCACAUGAAGAGAGCUAUUAUG